rnacentral:rRNA from 1 species
CCUACGGGAGGCAGCAGUGAGGAAUAUUGGUCAAUGGACGAGAGUCUGAACCAGCCAAGUAGCGUGAAGGAUGACUGCCCUAUGGGUUGUAAACUUCUUUUAUAUGGGAAUAAAAUGUUCCACGUGUGGGAUUUUGUAUGUACCCUAUGAAUAAGGAUCGGCUAACUCCGUGCCAGCAGCCGCAGUAAUACGGAGGAUCCGAGCGUUAUUCGGAUUUAUUGGGUUUAAAGGGGGCGUAGGUGGAUUGUUAAGUCAGUUGUGAAAGUUUGCGGCUCAAACGUAAAAUUGCAGUUGAAACUGGCAGUCUGGAGUACAGUAGAGGUGGGCGGAAUUCGUGGUGUAGCGGUGAAAUGCUUAGAUAUCACGAAGAACUCCGAUUGCGAAGGCAGCUCACUGGACUGCAACUGACACUGAGGCUCGAAAGUGUGGGUAUCAAACAGGAUUAGAUACCCGAGUAGUC